rnacentral:sRNA from 1 species
UUCGCUCGUUUACCGUCGAUUAAGCUUUCGGCUUUAUGACUGGAACUGUCCUCGUUUGGACACCGAGUGGCUCCUGUCCACUCUGUUUGACGCCUCCCUGUUAUCAACUUUCAAAGCCGCCGGUCUUCCGGCGGCUCUUUUUUG